GAGGUAAAAGGAUAUUUAUUAAGAAUAAGAAUGUCUAUACAAUUCCAAGAAUAUGAAAUUAAAUAAACAAAACCCGUCUUCCUUUGCUAGGGCUGCAUCCAGCACUAGAGAAGGGUUCAGCCUUCCAUGGAGUUGUGGACGACGGCAGUGAAGAAGGACGAAGACGGCAUGGCUGGUGUCUUUAGUCGGAGAAGGAAGUGUGAUGAUGCGAUGGUAGAAGAAGCUCUAUUUCCCCCUCCCCUCCUUCGUUCCAUUUCAUUUUUUUUUCUUUCCAUGGGAAGUCUUCCCAUAAUACCCAAAAGUAUUCUC
rnacentral:lncRNA from 1 species